AGUUACACGACCAGAUGUCAAAGGAGCCAAGAAAGCUGCAAAUCUCUGAUCCGGGUCUUUUAUUGCACUCAGAUAUUUUCCAUCUGAUGAAACAUCAGCAACUGAAUUCAACAGAUUCUCUCUGGGUAUUCUCAGAUUGUUAAACCAGAUUCGACCAUUAUCAACACCAUUUAAACCAAUUUUAUGACCACAGUCAGCUAUACGGAUGUUAGGGCAUAUGUUUCCAUCUGCAUCCCUGAUCUGAGCUAUAAACGCAUGGACUCCUUGAUUUGAUCCAUUUAUAUUGAGCUGAGAAAAGACUAUUGUGUGUGUCGCAUGAUUUGCAGCCCCGCCGAUCCAAUACUUCUGAGCUGAUUCACAAGGAGUGUUGAUGACAAACUCCCCAGUUUUCGAAUCAUAAACAGUCAGAGUUUCAAUUCCUCUGACAUUACUUCCAUGACCCAAUUCUGACAUAGCAAAGCAACCCUUGAUUGCAUAAGUUUCAGUGUCCCUCAGCCACUUGUCAUGAUGGAGCUCUGUGCCAAAAAACUUGAUAGCACCAC
rnacentral:misc_RNA from 1 species